AGAAACGAAAUCACAAGACUAAUGGGUACCUACCUAUAUAUAUUCAGAAUCAGAAGAAUAAAGGAAUCAGUAACUAUUCGGUUUGAUAUUCAGUUGCAUUAAUUCACACGUUCAUAAUACGUAUCAGAAGCAUUACCCGAGUCAAAUCAAAGGGCAUAAUUUAAAAAAAAUUGAAUUAAAGAUACUUGUUUCAUACAACGUGAUGGCUAUCAAAUCCUACUUUUUCAUUUUAUUGGUUGUAGCCUUGCAAAUGUAUGCUGUUAAAUACUUCGCUGUUGUCGCUCCUGAUGAACCACUCGAUAUCUUUGGACAAUGCUGGGAUCGUCCUGCACCUGCAGACAACAACCCUCCACCUUCAACCUAGUGGCAGUGACACUGAUGAUUAGUUCAGAGCCGCCGCUAUUGUGUAUAUACAUAGGAUAGGUACCUAUUUGUAUAAUUAUUUAUUAUAUUAUUAGGAAAAAAUCAGCGUGUCAAUUUUUUCGUAUAAGUUUGCAGACUUCUAUUUUUAAGAAAAAUAAACCAAAUAAUUUCAAUUUUUCCAUAUAUGUAGGUACCAAAUAUGUAAGUACCUAUAUGGAAAAAUUGAAAUUAUUAGGUUUAUUUCUCU